rnacentral:rRNA from 1 species
CAUAUUGCAACAUGGAGGAAACUGUGAUGCAGCGCCGCCGCGUGAACGAUGAAGGCUUUCGAGUCGUAAAGUUCUGUCCUACGGGGCGACAAUGACGGUACCCUAGGAGGCAGCGCCGGCUCACUACGUGCCAGCAGCCGCGGUAAUCCUUCGGGGGCAAGCGUUGUCCGGAUUUAUUGGGCGUAAAGGGUUCGCAGGCGGCCUUUUAAGUCAGAUGUGAAAGACUACAGCUCAACUGUGGUAAGCAUUUGAAACUGAAAGGCUUGAGUUAAGGAGAGGAGAGUGGAAUUCCUAGUGUAGCGGUGAAAUGCGUAGAUAUUAGGAGGAAUACCAGUGGCGAAGGCGACUUUCUGGACUUAUACUGACGCUGAGGAACGAAAGCGUGGGGAGCAAACAGG